CUGCAACUUUACAGAACCAUUGUUUAAUGAUGGGGAGGAGAAGGAUGGAUGGGUGUGUACGGCAGUGAAACUAUUCUGCCCGAUACUGUAAUGCUGUGUGCAGGUCAUUAUGUACUUGUUCAAAUUUGAUGUGGUAUCAAAUGUACCAUUCCAAGAGUGAACCCUAAUGUCAACCGUGGACUCUGGGCGACUAUGAAAAGAAGGCAAGACAGUACGAGUCCUGUGGUAGGGGCUCGCAUGGGUAUGAAUCCGCCUCGGCACCACCUUGCCACCAACAAGGGGCUGAUGACGGUGAGUCUGGAUACAGAAUUUGUCAUACACAGUGUGACGGAGGACCAGCAGAAGCACCUGCAAAGUGGGCCAGGAUCUGCGUCUCCCAGCUCUUUUCAAGAGGGCUAAUAAAAAUCGACAGAAAUGGG